rnacentral:rRNA from 1 species
UACGUAGGGGGCUAGCGUUGUCCGGAUUUAUUGGGCUUAAAGAGCGUGUAGGCGGUCCGGUAAGUCCGCUGUGAAAGUCGGGGGCUCAACCCUCGAAUGCCGGUGGAUACUGUCGGGCUAGAGUGCGGAAGAGGCGAGUGGAAUUCCUGGUGUAGCGGUGAAAUGCGCAGAUAUCAGGAGGAACACCUAUUGCGAAGGCAGCUCGCUGGGACGUAACUGACGCUGAGACGCGAAAGCGUGGGGAGCAAACAGG